GGGUUGUGAGGUUAAGCGACUAAGCGUACACGGUGGAUGCCCUGGCAGUCAGAGGCGAUGAAGGGCGUGCUAAUCUGCGAUAAGCGCCGGUAAGGUGAUAUGAACCGUUAUAACCGGCGAUACCCGAAUGGGGAAACCCAGUGUGAUUCGUCACACUAUCAUUAACUGAAUCCAUAGGUUAAUGAGGCGAACCGGGGGAACUGAAACAUCUAAGUACCCCGAGGAAAAGAAAUCAACCGAGAUUCCCCCAGUAGCGGCGAGCGAACGGGGAGGAGCCCAGAGCCUGAAUCAGCAUGUGUGUUAGUGGAAGCGUCUGGAAAGGCGCGCGAUACAGGGUGACAGCCCCGUACACAAAAGCGCAUGUGCUGUGAGCUCGAUGAGUAGGGCGGGACACGUGGUAUCCUGUCUGAAUAUGGGGGGACCAUCCUCCAAGGCUAAAUACUCCUGACUGACCGAUAGUGAACCAGUACCGUGAGGGAAAGGCGAAAAGAACCCCGGCGAGGGGAGUGAAAAAGAACCUGAAACCGUGUACGUACAAGCAGUGGGAGCACCCUUUGGGUGUGACUGCGUACCUUUUGUAUAAUGGGUCAGCGACUUAUAUU
rnacentral:rRNA from 1 species